UACGUGGGGAGCAAGCGUUGUCCGGAAUCAUUGGGCGUAAAGCGCGUGUAGGCGGCUUGGUAAGUCUGCUCUGAAAGCCCGGGGCUCAACCCCGGGAGGCGGGUGGAUACUGCUGAGCUCGAGUCCGGAAGAGGCGAGUGGAAUUCCUGGUGUAGCGGUGGAAUGCGCAGAUAUCAGGAGGAACACCGGUGGCGAAGGCGGUUCUCUGGGCAUGACCUGACGCUGAGGAGCGAAAGCAUGGGGAGCGAACAGG
rnacentral:rRNA from 1 species